CCCUCGCGUCGCGCGGCUGAAGAGGGCGGGCGCGGCGCGCGCACGUACGCACGGACGUCCUCUGGAGGGAGGCGGGAACUCGGGGCGCGGGCGCGGGCGCGGAGUCGUCCGCGACGCUCGUCCAGACGUCUGGGGCUGGGGCGUUGCGUCAGUGCCGCGGACCUUUAGCGCAACAGGCGCUAGCCUUUAAAAGCCAGAGGCCGUGGCAACCUGUCGGCCUUUGGCGGAUCGUGCUGCUGAGUUUGGCCUCAGCUGUGGUGCGGAACGAGGGGCGGACUAAGCUGGACGGGUCGGAGGCCGCGGCUGUGGCUGCCCCAGCGAGCGUCUCCUCCGAAGCUUCUGCAGCGUGAUCGGACGCCAGGGCCUCGCGGUUCUUGGUGCUGUGCGAGGCACCUUCUGCUGUUUGUGGCUCAGGGGAGCAGUAAGCCGAGUCUUUGGUUUUUUUAACCGGAGGUCUACCAGAAAUAGGCUGAAAAGACCCGGUGAGGAAGAGACUCACUGUGCGGCUAAUUUCCACUACUUAGUGUGAUUCCGGGACGUUGCUACGUAGCCGAAAACCGGUCACCUCAGGAGCUUUUUGAAAAGCCACACCUCAGCCCAGAGUCCGGAAGUGGGGCAGAGGGCUGAUUCUGAUGCGCCUCAGGUUGCGGAGCCAAGAUCUCACCUCCAGUGUGGUGGCCUCUGAGAGUCCCACUUAGUGUCCUGGGUGAGCCCGGUGACAAAUGCCCUCCAGGUAGAAGCUUUCAGAAAGGGUUGGCCUUUUAUUUGGGAAACAAGUGUUUCUGCAGAGCAGUGGCUGUUUGGGCGUGAGACGCUUGCACUUCUUUGGUCUUUAUCUCUUGAGCUGGUCUAAGUCCCUAAACCAUGUGUUUAUUUACUCACUCCAGAAGACUCGCCUCUAUUAGGUGUCAGUGUUUUAGAUACCCUGCGAUUACAGCAGAGAGCAAAAGAGGCUCUCCCUGCCUUUAAAAGAGUUCACGAGCUAAUGGUGCAAGGUUUGGAAUAAACGAGGGUACUUCAGAAAGCUCUUGAGAAAUGUGUAUUAUGAGAAAACCAUGUGUGGAUUGGAAAUUUUUUGCACUAAACUGUCGCAGUUUCAUUUUCCAUGAACUUAAAUUUUAAGUACCCUGAUAACAUGCGAGGUAAAUGCCAGGAAGAAAAAGCAACUGGAGCAAAAGAGAGAUUGAGGGAGGCCUGUUGAUAAGAUGAAGGAGUCUCUCUUGCAGAACAGUGUUCAAAGUAGAGGAACAAAUAGUGCAAAGGGCAUGAGGCAAACGUAUCCUUAGCUUAUCAGAACAGCAACGUAUCAACUUGGAUGGAGUGGCUUGAGCAGAGAGUAGUGAGAGAUGAGGAAAAUUAUUAAAGGAGCUAGCUUUUGUUCUCUAAAAGAAUUUUGGAAAACUAUUUCCCAUCAAGCAUUGUAAUUUGAUUUUAAAAGAAGUUUAAAUAAUUGCAAAGGAAUGGGCAUGUAGCCUGGUGGUGAAGAUACUGUUUAAGAUACACAAAGCCCUCGUAUCAGAUAACUGGAUUUGAGUCUCCUAACUCCAGCUUUCUGCUACUGCAGAUGCUGGGAGGCAGUGGAGAUAGCUCAGGUGAUUGGGUUCCUGGCGCUUGGCUUUGACCCAGUGCAGUCCUGGAUAUUGCAGGCAUUUGGGAAGUGAACCUUCAGGUGGGAACUUGCACAUCCUUGCCUGCUGUCUCUCUCUCUCUUGCCUCUCAAAUAGUUGCAAAGUGUCAUCUCUGAUAUUUUAAUUAUUUCAGUUUAUGAUAAUCUAAUGGAAAGGCCGGCGCCGCGGCUCACUAGGCUAAUCCUCCACCUAGCGGUGCCGGCACACCAGGUUCUAGUUCCGGUCGGGGCGCCGGAUUCUGUCCCGGUGCUUCCAGGCCAGCUCUCUGCUAUGGCCCUAUGGCCCGGGAGUGCAGUGGAGGAUGGCCCAAGUGCUUGGGCCCUGUACCCCAUGGGAGACCAGGAGAAGCACCUGGCUCCUGCUUUCCGAUCAGCGCGGUGCGCCGGCCGCGGCGGCCAUUGGAGGGUGAACCAAUGGCAAAAGGAAGACCUUUCUCUCUGUCUCUCUCACUGUCCACUCUGCCUGUCAAAAAAAUAAUAAUGAUAAUCUAAUGGAAAAGUUUUUUUAAGUAUUAAACAUGACAAAGUCUUGAGAAUGUCUUUUAAUAACGUAGCUGGGAGUCCUUUUUUUUUCCCCAAAAAAUUAGGUAACCAUGAAUUGCUAGGAUGAAAUAGGGUCCUGUAUCAGUUCCAUUUUUCAUUUUUAUAUACUCCAGUACUACAUUAAAAGCUACAUAUUUAUACAUAUAUGAUGAAUUUUAUAUAUAUAAAUGGUUUAUAUUUAACAUAAAUAAGUACUCCCCCAGAAGCACUCAUACCCUGGUUUUGAGACCACCAAGUGAGAUAGGAAGCCCACAGUAGGUUUUGAGCAAAGACACAAAAUAGGGUCAUGAAUAGAGUCCCUAUAUCUGCUUAAUGAGCUGUGGAGGGUCAGAGUGGAAGAAAGAAUACCAGUUACUAAUAGGUCAGGCAAAGAAUAAUGAUUGAUUGGACCAGGCUAGUAACUGUGCAGGUGGUGAAAGAUACAGAAAAAUUAUAAAUACUUUUCUCUGGGACAAGUGUGAUAAGGUGGGUUAAGCCACCAUUUAGAAUGCCUGCACCCUCUAACAGUGCCAUGGGUGGAGUCCUCCCUCUUCCUAUCCUGCUAAUGUUCCUUCUGGAAGACAGUAGAUGAUGGCUUGAGUUCUUGGCACCCUGUCAUCCACAUGGGAGACACCAAUGGAGUUCUGGAGGUCCUGGCUUUGGCCUGGCCCACUUUGCUGUUGGGGACAUUUGAGGAGUGGAUCAGCUAAUGGAAGAUCUCCCUCUCUGCAUCUCUCUUUCUCACAGUCACUCUGCCUUUCAAGUAAGUUAAAAAAAAAAAAAAAAAAAAAAAAACACCUUUUCUGGCCAGCGCUGCGGCUCACUAGGCUAAUCCUCCGCCUGUGGCGCUGCACACCGGGUUCUAGUCCCGGUUUGGGUGCCGGAUUCUGUCCCAGUUGCCCCUCUUCCAGGCCAGCUCUCUGCUGUGGCCAGGGAGUGCAGUGGAGGAUGGCCCAAGUGCUUGGGCCCUGCACCCACAUGGGAGACCAGGAGAAGCACCUGGCUCCUGCCUUCGAAUCAGCGCAGUGCGCCGGCUGCAGCGGCCAUUGGAGGGUGAACCAAUGGAAAAGGAAGACCUUUCUCUCUGUCUCUCUCUCUCACUGUCCACUCUGCCUGUCAAAAAAAAAAAAAAAAAAAAAAAAAAAAAAAAACUUUUCUCCAAAUUCACUGCAAAAUUAAAUGGACUGAGUUUCUAAAGAUUUUGCUUCCAUGUGUUUCUUUUUUAACCUGUUAAUGUCUGCUACUGCUUGCCUUUAUUAGGAUAUAUUAUACUAGUGUUUUGGGAAACUAAUUUUUUUAAAGAUUUACCUAUUUGUUUGAAAGUCAGAGUUACACAGAGAGAGGAGAGGCAGAGAGAGAAGUCUUCCAUCUGAUGGUUCACUCCCCAGAUGGCCGCAACGGCCGGAGCUGUGCCGAUCCAAAGCCAGGAGCCAGGAGUUUCUUCUGGGUCUCCCACGCUGGUGCAGGGGCCCAAGGACUUGGGCCAUCUUCUAAUGCUUCCCCAGGCCAUAGCAGAGAGCUGGAUCGGAAGAGGAGCAGCUGGGACUAGAACCAGUGUCCAUAUGGGAUGCCAGCGCUUCAAGCAAGGUCAUUAACCCACUGCACCACAGCGCCAGCCCCAGGAAACUAAUUUUUAGGGUGGAAACUACCUGCAUGAAGUUCAGUUUGCUCUGAGAGGCCAGUUUCUGGAAUUGAAUCAUGAUUAAAUAUUUUUGGACAUUGAAAUAGAACUCCGGUUAUAUCCUUGAUUUGUAAUAGGAGCCCAGAUAUCUUGUGAAAACAUCUGUGAAAUAAAUCUAAAGACAGGCUGAGAUAUGAGAUGCAGAAAUACGUCUAAUGGAUGGAGACUACAUACUGUAGGGGCUGAAUCUGUGCUCUGGAGCCAAAAUGCUUGCUUUGAAGCCUUGUCCCACCACCUCAUAACUAUCACUUGGGGCAACUUACUCAACUUGCCUCUGUUUCCUCAGUUAUAAAGGGUGUUUGCUACUAUUAGGACCAACCUCAAGUUUAUUUGGUAACAUUUUUGAAGUGGUAAUAGCAGUACUUAUGGUUCACUGAAUGUCAAAGUAGACCCAAAGUUACCUGGAAGGGAAAACAAAGAUGCUGCUGGGAGAGAUCUUCAGAAGAAUCAGGUCCGGGGAUGAGCUGAGCAGCAAGUGUAGAUCAAAGCUGUGUCCAGCCAUUCCCUUGACCUAGCAGACUGGCUCCUGACCUUGUUUCCUGAACAUUUCGAGAAAAACACCAUGUACAAGAGAUGGCUACAGGCAUGUCUGUGUCAGUUCUACUAUGAAAGAAACCCCUCAGAGACUGGUGGUAACCGGAAGUGGAAGGAGCUUUCCAGUUGUCCAGAAAGAGAACCCUGGAGGUUUCCUCUUUGGUGCUCAGUUAGUUGUCGCCGAUCAGGGAGAACAUGUGAUAUUUGUCCCUUUCCCUUGGAAAACCAAGACACCCUGGAAAAAAAAAAAAAAAGAA